AUGAAGGAUCACAUAUUUCUCUCUCUCUCUCUCUCUCUCUCUCUCUCUCUCUCUCUGUAUGUGUGUGUAUGUGUGAGAGAGAGAGAGCGAGAGAGAGAGAGAGAAGUCAAGGAGAAUUUACAAACGAA